rnacentral:rRNA from 1 species
ACUGUGCAGCUAGCUCAAUCACCAAACUUCUACAUAAGCGACCUAAAACAUUUACUAAAAUAGUACAGGCGAUAGAAAUUUUUACCAGAAGCGAUAGAAAAUAGUACCGCAAGGGAAAGCUGAAAAAGAAAUUAAAUAAACCAUAAAAGUACAAAAAAAGCAAGGAUUAACCCCUGUACCUUUUGCAUCAUGAUCUAGUAAGUAAACUAGAGGCAAAAAGACCUUCAGUCUCUCUCCCCGAAACUAAAUGAGCUAUUUAAGAGCAGCUACUAAGAGCAAACCCGUCUAUGUGGCAAAAUAGUGGGAAGACUCUUAAAUAGAGGUGACAAGCCUAACGAAUUUAGUGAUAGCUGGUUACUCAAUAAACAAGUUUUAGCUUAACCUCAAACCUUAUCAAAAUAAUAAAAAUACAGAUUAAAGUUUAAGAGCUAUUCAUGAGAGGUACAGCUCUCAUGAAAAAGGAGACAACCUACAAAACUGGAUAAUGAUUAUAAUAUCCACAUACAUCAAGUAGGCCUAAAAGCAGCCAUCUACAAGAAAGCGUCACAGCUCAUACUAUCCAAAAUUAUAAUAAAAACAUCAAAAUCCUCAACAAUAACUGAGUUAAACCAUUCAAAUGGAUAAAUUAAUGCUAGAAUUAGUAAUAAGAAAACACGAUUUUCUCUAUGCGAACCCGUAAAUCAGAUCGAACUAAUCCCUGAUAAUAACCGACCCUGUUAAUGGAAAUAAAUACCAACAAUAAACAAGAAAAACAUUAAACACACUAGAUCGUUAACCCAACACAGGUUCGCAAUAAGAAAGACAAAAAGACAAAGAAGGAACUCAGCAAAUUAAAACCUCGCCUGUUUACCAAAAACAUCGCCUCUAGCAAAAUUAACAUUAGAGGUACUGCCUGCCCAGUGAUAAUAUUCAACGGCCGCGGUAUCUUGACCGUGCAAAGGUAGCAUAAUCACUUGUCUUCUAAAUAAAGACUAGUAUGAAAGGCAAAACGAAGGUCUAACUGUCUCCUUUGUCCACUCAAUGAAAUUGAUCUCUCAGUACAAAAGCUGAGAUAAGACAACAAGACGAGAAGACCCUAUGGAGCUUAAAACACACUAGAAACUGCAACAGUUUAUUAACCUACUGCACUAAUUCCACACUGUUUUUGGUUGGGGCGACCACGGAGAAUACCAAUCCUCCGAGAUGAAACAUUAGGAAAACAAUCCAAAACAUCAGGAAACUGACAUAAUUGACCCAAUAUAACUUUGAUCAACGAACCAAGUUACCCUAGGGAUAACAGCGCAAUCCUCUUCAAGAGCCCAUAUCGACAAGAGGGCUUACGACCUCGAUGUUGGAUCAGGGUAACCUGACAGUGUAACCGCCGUCAAAGGUUUGUUUGUUCAACAAUUAAAACCCUACGUGAUCUGAGUUCAGACCGGAGAAAUCCAGGUCAGUUUCUAUCUGUUAUGUAAUUUUUUCUAGUACGAAAGGACCGAAAAAACAUGGCCAAUGCAAUAUGCACGCCAUCAAAAAACCAAUGAAACCAACUAAACAAGACACAAAACACACCUCAAAAUAAGAGGCU